GGUUUAAUUCGAUGAUACGCGAGGAACCUUACCUGGGCUUAAAUGGGGAGUGACAGCUGUCGAAAGAUGGUUUUCUUCGGACACUCUUCAAGGUGCUGCAUGGUUGUCGUCAGCUCGUGCCGUGAGGUGUCGGGUUAAGUCCCAUAACGAGCGCAACCCUUACCGUUAGUUACCAUCAGGUUAAGCUGGGGACUCUAGCGGGACUGCCACCGUAAGGUGAGAGGAAGGUGGGGAUGACGUCAAAUCAGCACGGCCCUUAUGUCCAGGGCUACACACGUGUUACAAUGGCCGGUACAAAGGGCAGCUACUUCGCGAGAAGAUGCUAAUCUCGAAAGCCGGUCUCAGUUCGGAUCGAAGUCUGCAACCCGACUUCGUGAAGCUGGAUUCGCUAGUAAUCGCGCAUCAGCCAUGGCCGCGGUCCGAAUACGUUCCCGGGCCUU
rnacentral:rRNA from 1 species